UACGUAGGGGGCGAGCGUUGUCCGGAUUUAUUGGGCGUAAAGAGCUCGUAGGCGGCUAAGCAAGUCGGGUGGGAAAUCUCCAGGCUCAACCUGGAGCCUUCGCCCGAUACUGCUUUGGCUUGAGUCCGGUAGGGGAGUGUGGAAUUCCCGGUGUAGCGGUGAAAUGCGCAGAUAUCGGGAGGAACACCGAUGGCGAAGGCAGGUCUCUGGGCCACUACUGACGCUGAGAAGCGAAAGCAUGGGGAGCGAACAGG
rnacentral:rRNA from 1 species